rnacentral:misc_RNA from 1 species
UUAACUAUUAUAUAGUACUCAGACAUCACUAAAAACAGAGUUUGUUUCCUCUGGCAGGCACGCACAUGCCGAAGCCCGUGGUGUUUCCACGGCCUGCCAAAGCAACGAAGGUAUAAUAUUCAAGGGUGGGAGAUCUACCCGUAAGGGCAUGAACUCUGUAAUGAUCCUUCCGCAGGUUCACCUACGGAAA